UUUGAGAGCGGUGCUACCUGCAGUCGACGAAUCUUUCGGGAUUAGUGGCGGACGGGUGAGUAACGCGUGAGAAUCUGCCUUCAGGAUGGGGAUAACAGUUAGAAAUGACUGCUAAAACCCAAUGUGCCGAAAGGUGAAAUAUUUAUAGCCUGGAGAGGAGCUCGCGUCCGAUUAGCUAGUUGGGGUGGUAAAAGCGCACCAAGGCAACGAUCGGUAGCUGGUCUGAGAGGAUGAGCAGCCACACUGGGACUGAGACACGGCCCAGACUCCUACGGGAGGCAGCAGUGGGGAAUUUUCCGCAAUGGGCGAAAGCCUGACGGAGCAAUACCGCGUGAGGGAGGAAGGCUUUUGGGUUGUAAACCUCUUUUCUCAAGGAAGAAGAUCUGACGGUACUUGAGGAAUCAGCAUCGGCUAACUCCGUGCCAGCAGCCGCGGUAAUACGGAGGAUGCAAGCGUUAUCCGGAAUUAUUGGGCGUAAAGCGUCCGCAGGUGGUACAUCAAGUCUGCUGUUAAAGACCAGGGCUUAACUCUGGGCAGGCAGAAGAAACUGGUGAACUAGAGUACGGUAGGGGUAGAGGGAAUUCCCAGUGUAGCGGUGAAAUGCGUAGAGAUUGGGAAGAACACCAGUGGCGAAGGCGCUCUACUGGACCUGUACUGACACUCAGGGACGAAAGCUAGGGUAGCGAAAGGGAUUAGAUACCCCUGUAGUCCUAGCUGUAAACGAUGGAUACUAGGCGUUGCUUGUAUCGACCCGAGCAGUGCCGUAGCUAACGCGUUAAGUAUCCCGCCUGGGGAGUACACACGCAAGUGUGAAACUCAAAGGAAUUGACGGGGGCCCGCACAAGCGGUGGA
rnacentral:rRNA from 1 species